UACAGAGGGUGCGAGCGUUAAUCGGAAUUACUGGGCGUAAAGCGCACGUAGGCGGCUUGGUAUGUCGGGUGUGAAAUCCCCGGGCUCAACCUGGGAACUGCAUCCGAAACUGCCUUGCUAGAGUAUGGGGAGAGGGAAGUGGAAUUUCCGGUGUAGAGGUGAAAUUCGUAGAUAUUCGGAGGAACACCAGUGGCGAAGGCGGCUCACUGGUCCAUUACUGACGCUGAGGUGCGAAAGCGUGGGGAGCAAACAGG
rnacentral:rRNA from 1 species